AGUCCAUGAUAUGGACAUAUUCAUAUCAUCUCGUUGAAUCCCUCAUAUGCUUCGAAGAGCAAUUCCCUAUCCUUCUUCCUAAAGUAGGAGAUUUGGUUCCUAAGUUG